rnacentral:ncRNA from 2 species
CAAAUGAAUAGAGGUCGCAACAGACAUGAGUAUGCAAGGGAGUUCCUGUAUGAACUAAGAACUUGUUAAAAGGGAAUGUUGCCGAAGCGCUAGGCUAUGCAGAACUUAGUGUGCUGGGACGUGUCAAUAAGAUGACAUGGACUGUCGUAGCAAAAAAGUCGGCUACGGUGCGCUUACGACAA